AACCUAGAAUCAAAAAAAUCGCUCCCCCCUCCCUUCCCUUGAAGUUCACGCCAUUUUCCUCCCCACACCUCUCCCACAUGUUCUUCUACUCUACUCAAGAUCCUUUCGAUUCGCCAAGAGUUUGUUGAAGAAUCAAGAGUUAUAUUCGCUUUUACCGAUUGUUUCGUCCAAGAAAGGUGAUAACUCGUGCGCGAAGCGUGAUAACAAUGGAAAGGCAGUAGUUGAUAUCUAAACGGUCGAGGUUGAGCGGCGACGAGCGGUUGGCGGUGUUGAGCAAAUUAAACGAAAUGAUAAUAUUGUCUUGAAACCCCGAGUGUCGUCGUGUCUCCACACAUGACUUCACUCUUUCUCUUGGUCGUUUUCCGCUGCGAUAUUUCUUUUACUUAUUUGUUGUUGGGCCAAAAAUUGAAUUUGUCCGGUUAUUGGUUUCUUGUAAUUUUGUUGGAUAAUGUCAAACUCUUAAUCUUUUCCAUUAAUAUUAAUGUCUGGCCCAACUCAUUAUUUAAACCCGAGCCCUCAUCUUGUUUUAUACUUAAUUGCUCAUUUAAUAUGUUGGUCAAACCUCCUUGAUGAAACCCUAGCCUAUUUUCAUUGUUAUAUUUAAGUCUGUUUAAGUCGCGAUCGCCGCAUUUAUUAUACCCUAGAAGGGCGGUCGUGACAUAUACCAGAUCCCAAUCCCAUAUCCGGCGAGUUUUGGGUACCCGAAACCCAAAAUUAUAGGUUCGGGUAUUUAGUGUAAUAAUUUUCCGGGUUUUGGGUACCCGAAUACGGGUUUCGGGUGCCCAAUUUAUGAUAAAUAUUUUUAUCUAUGAUAGGAUAUUAUAUAUAUUCUUUCUUGUUAA